UGGUUUGUUGUAGCACAGUAAACACAUUUUUAAUGGCAUUAAGCCCAGGGAAUUCAGCUGUGAACAGCCAGAGGGAAGAAGCGAAAAAAUUAUCUAGGCCAGGGUGAUGAAGAUGGGGCGAGUUCAAAGACAAUGUGUUUAAACCUUGAAGACACACCCAGAUGCCGUGGUUUGUAACCAGCAGUAACUUCUAAAAUUAAGAACUUAUUUUUUUAAAAAAUCCAGCAGGAUAAACAUGAAUCCAAGGAUUGUAGAACCUUUUUUAGGGAUGUAUAAACCCAACUUCAUCACAACGAGCCAAUGAAAGUGAGUGUCCCAGGACACAAAUGAGUUCGGCAUUAAUUCACUUUAUAAUUCUUUUCAUUCCUAUUGCCAAGGAAUAAAAGAAUGGAUAAAAAAAAAAGGUGAUCAUUAAGUGCUUACAUUAUGUCAAGCACUGGUCUAACAGCUGUAGAUAGAAAGUGGGGGGGGGGGGGGAAGCAAAUAUUCCCCCCUCCCUCCUCCCUGCCCUGAAAGAGCUUACAUUUUUAUGGGUUGAGCUGGCACCCGUAGGGGAGUGGUGGCCAAGGAAGCACACUUUGGAAUAACCAAACCACACUUGGAGGAACACUGGGAUUUUUUUCCCCUGCUCAACAGAAUUUAUUGAAUUGAUAACUGGACAAGUCACGUGUGUACAAAAUGGCGCUCACAAUAGCCCAAAGCCUGGCACUGGGAGGAGUUAGGGGCGUGGGGCAGGAAGCAGCUACUGGGCUUUCCGGGAGAAGGUCGGAGGCGUGGUUACCCAAGAGACCCCACUGGCUUUGGUCAUCAAACUCAAGCAGAGCCCAAUGCUGGGCUGGGGCAAACAAAAUGAGGGCUGAAGACCCAGCGAUUCCAACUUCCCAGUUCAGCUCUUCCUUGAUCCAGGGGUCACUGAAACACAGGACAUCCAAAAGUGAAAUGUAGGCAACAAAAAAAGGUGCAUUUUGAGGAAGCCAACAAGUUGGUGAUUAUAGCAUCUAACACAGAAAUGCAAAAUUUUAGAAAUGUAAAGACUUCAGGGAGCAUCUAGUCCAACCCUACCUAAAAGAAUCCCUACUAUAACAUAUUCAACAGGGGGUCAUGCAGCCUCUACUUAAAGACUUCCAAGAGGAAGGAACUGACAACCUUUUGAGGUAAUCCAUUCCACUUUGGGACAUCUCUAAUUGCUAAGAAGUUUUUACUGACAUCAAGCCUAAAUGGACUUCUUUUACUCAUUGCUCCUGGUUCUGGUCCCUGAGGUCAAGCUGGACAAAAUAAAUCCCACUUCCACAAGUAUGUAGCUCUCA
rnacentral:lncRNA from 1 species